rnacentral:rRNA from 1 species
CCUACGGGAGACUGCAGUGAGGAAUAUUGGUCAAUGGGCGCGAGCCUGAACCAGCCAAGUCGCGUGAGGGAUGAAGGUUCUAUGGAUCGUAAACCUCGUUUAUAAGGGAAUAAAGUGUGGGACGUGUCCUAUGAUGUAUGUACCUUAUGUAUAAAGAUCGGCUAACUACGUUCCAGCAGCCGCGGUAAUACGGAGGAUCCGAGCGUUGUCCUGUUUUAUUGGGUUUAAAGGGUGCGUAGGCGGGCUUUUAAGUCAGCGGUGAAAGUCUGUGGCUCAACCAUAGAAGUGCCGUUGAAACUGGGGGGCUUGAGUGUGUUAGAGGCAGGCGGAAUGCGAGGUGUAGCGGUGAAAUGCUUAGAUAUCACGCAGAACACCGAUUGCGAAGGCAGCCUGCCAGGCCAUGACUGACGCUGAUGCACGAAAGCGUGGGGAUCAAACAGGAUUAGAUACCCUGGUAGUC